rnacentral:rRNA from 1 species
UACAGAGGUCUCAAGCGUUGUUCGGAUUCAUUGGGCGUAAAGGGUGCGUAGGCGGGUCUUUAAGUCAGGGUGAAAUCCUGGAGCUCAACUCCAGAACUGCCUUUGAUACUGAAGAUCUUGAGUUCGGGAGAGGUGAGUGGAACUGCGAGUGUAGAGGUGAAAUUCGUAGAUAUUCGCAAGAACACCAGUGGCGAAGGCGGCUCACUGGCCCGAUACUGACGCUGAGGCACGAAGCGUGGGAGCAAACAGG